GUGCGAACAGGUGAGGAAACCCGAGAGCUAAGUUUUGGGGCGGGGCUGGAGUCGUAUUAGGUCGAAGGUGGUAUAAAAGACCACCUUGCCCAGGAUGCGUGGCUUUAAACUGGAAAGCCAUCUUUUCACUGAAGGCAAAGGGAGGGCUCAAAAAGGGAGCGAAAAGCUCCUGAGGCAGCAGUAUAUAACUUUAUGCAAUGUACGAAAGUGCGACAUAGAAGGGGCGUAUAACUUAAUCUGUCUAAUUAAGUGCCAGCAGACGCGGUGAAACUUAAGGAUUAGUAUUAUAGGAAAAAGCGUAAAGGGUGUGAGGGGCUUAUCCCAACAAGAGGGUAAAUGGAAUUUUUCUGUAGGGGUAGAAUGUGUAGAUAGAAAAAAGAACUCUAAACGCGAAGGCAAUUUAUCUCAUGGGUGGUACGCCAACUGCUCCGUUGUUACACGAAAGUAUGGGGAGCAAACAGGAUUAGAGACCCUGGUAGUCUAUAUUGUAAAUAAUGAAGAAGAUGUGAGGCAAUCCUAAAGGGUAAUAAAUUUUUCGCUUGAGUAGUAUGAUCGCAAGAUUUAAAUUCAAAAAACUUGGCUGCUCACUGCUAUGAUCAGAGGAGCGUGUCGUUUAAUUCGAUAGUCCGCGAGAGACCUUACCCAAACUUGAAUUCGCCCUUUAACAGGUAUUGCAUGGCCGUCGUCAAUUUGUGUAUUAAAUGUAAAACGGAUUCAACCCAGUGGUUGGCAACCCCUCGUCUUCGGAGCGGUGCCAUUAUUGGAUGAAGUCAGGUCUUAUUGUCCUAAUGUUUGGGGAUUAGAUGCGCUACAUUUUCUUAUACAAUGGGAGAUUUUGAAGGUGGAACCCUAAAGUAAGAGUUCGGGAGGUGGCUGGAAGAUAACUGAAAGUGGGAUUUGAUAGUAAUUAGAAAGUAUAGCGUUCUGGUGAAAUUGAUGCAGUGUUAGUACAAAUAGCCCGUCGCCUUGGUCAAGAAUGGGUACUCAAAUGC
rnacentral:rRNA from 1 species